GACCGCUCCGGUGGUCUAUUGGUGAGUGUCCGCCUCAGAUGCGGGAGAUCGCGGGUUCGAACCCUGGCCGAGUCA